GGGAAGAGCUCAAAUUUAUAAUCUGGCACCUUCGGUGUCCGAGUUGUAAUCUCUAGAAGUGUUUUCCGCGUUGGACCGCACACAAGUCUGUUGGAAUACAGCGGCAUAGUGGUGAAACCCCCCUAUAUCGUGCGGACGCCCCCCGCUUUGUGAUACACUUUCAAUGAGUCUAGUUGUUUGGGAAUGCACCUCAUAUUGGGUGGUAAAUUCCAUCUAAAGCUAAAUAUUGGCGAGAGACCGAUAGCGAACAAGUACCGUGAGGGAAAGAUGAAAAGCACUUUGGAAAAAGAGUUAACAAUACGUGAAAUUGUUGGAAGGGAAACGCUUGAAGUCAGACUUGCUUGCCGGAGCUUGCUUCGGUUUGCAGGCCAGCAUCAGUUUUCCGGGGUGGAUAAUGACGGUGUGAAGGUAGCAAUCUCGGCUGUGUUAUAGCUUUCCUUUGGAUACGCCCUGGGGGACUGAGGAACGCAGCGUGCUUUUUGCGAAAGACUCCUCUUUUUCACGCUUAGGAUGCUGGUGGAAUGGCUUUAAACGACCCGUCUUGAAACACGGACCA
rnacentral:rRNA from 1 species